rnacentral:ncRNA from 1 species
UAGUAAUCCUGCUCAGUACGAGAGGAACCACGGGCUCAGACGCCUGGUGCAUGUGUUUGGCUGAGGAGCCUCUGGUGCGAAGCUACCGUCUGUGGGAUUAUGUCUGUGGGAUUAUGACUGAACGCCUCUAAAUCAGAAUCACCCCUAA